AUACGGAGGGUGCAAGCGUUGUCCGGAUUUAUUGGGUUUAAAGGGUGUGUAGGCGGUGUAUUAAGUCAGUGGUGAAAGCCUGCGGCUCAACCGUAGAACUGCCAUUGAUACUGACACACUUGAGUAUGGACGAGGUAGGCGGAAUUUAUGGUGUAGCGGUGAAAUGCAUAGAUACCAUAAAGAACACCGAUAGCGAAGGCAGCUUACUAGGCCAUAACUGACGCUGAGGCACGAAAGCGUGGGGAGCGAACAGGAUUAGAAACCCGAGUAGUCC
rnacentral:rRNA from 1 species